rnacentral:rRNA from 1 species
CCUACGGGUGGCAGCAGUGAGGAAUAUUGGUCAAUGGACGAGAGUCUGAACCAGCCAAGUAGCGUGAAGGAUGACUGCCCUAUGGGUUGUAAACUUCUUUUAUAUGGGAAUAAAAUGUUCCACGUGUGGGAUUUUGUAUGUAAAAUAUGAAUAAGGAUAGGCUAACUACGUGCGAGCAGCCGCGGUAAUAAGGAGGAUCCGAGCGUUAUCCGGAUUUAUUGGGUUUAAAGGGAGCGUAGGUGGAUUGUUAAGUCAGUUGUGAAAGUUUGCGGCUCAACCGUAAAAUUGCAGUUGAAAAUGGCAGUCUUGAGUACAGUAGAGGUGGGCGGAAUUCGUGGUGUAGCGGUGAAAUGCUUAGAUAUCACGAAGAACCCCGAUUGCGAAGGCAGUUCACUGGACUGCAACUGACACUGAGGCUCGAAAGUGUGGGUAUCAAACAGGAUUAGAUACCCUUGUAGUC